rnacentral:rRNA from 1 species
CGGAGCAUGUGGAUUAAUUCGAUGCAACGCGAAGAACCUUACCUGGGUUUGACAUACACCGGAAAACCGUAGAGAUACGGUCCCCCUUGUGGUCGGUGUACAGGUGGUGCAUGGCUGUCGUCAGCUCGUGUCGUGAGAUGUUGGGUUAAGUCCCGCAACGAGCGCAACCCUUGUCUUAUGUUGCCAGCACGUGAUGGUGGGGACUCGUAAGAGACUGCCGGGGUCAACUCGGAGGAAGGUGGGGACGACGUCAAGUCAUCAUGCCCCUUAUGUCCAGGGCUUCACACAUGCUACAAUGGCCAGUACAGAGGGCUGCGAGACCGUGAGGUGGAGCGAAUCCCUUAAAGCUGGUCUCAGUUCGGAUCGGGGUCUGCAACUCGACCCCGUGAAGUCGGAGUCGCUAGUAAUCGCAGAUCAGCAACGCUGCGGUGAAUACGUUCCCGGGCCUU